GUCUACGGCCAUACCAACCUGAACGCACCUGAUCUCGUCUGAUCUCGGAAGUUAAGCAGGGUCGGGCCUGGUUAGUACUUGGAUGGGAGACUACCUGUGAAGAGCCACA